UACAGAGGGGGCAAGCGUUGUUCGGAAUUACUGGGCGUAAAGGGCGCGUAGGAGGCCUGUUAAGUCGAACGUGAAAUCCCCGGGCUCAACCCGGGAACUGCGUCCGAUACUGGCAGGCUUGAAUCCGGGAGAGGGAUGCGGAAUUCCAGGUGUAGCGGUGAAAUGCGUAGAUAUCUGGAGGAACACCGGUGGCGAAGGCGGCAUCCUGGACCGGCAUUGACGCUGAGGCGCGAAAGCCAGGGGAGCAAACGGG
rnacentral:rRNA from 1 species